rnacentral:rRNA from 1 species
GAUGAACGCUGGCGGCGUGCCUAAUACAUGCAAGUCGAGCGAACGGACGAGAAGCUUGCUUCUCUGAUGUUAGCGGCGGACGGGUGAGUAACACGUGGAUAACCUACCUAUAAGACUGGGAUAACUUCGGGAAACCGGAGCUAAUACCGGAUAAUAUUUUGAACCGCAUGGUUCAAAAGUGAAAGACGUUCUUGCUGUCACUUAUAGAUGGAUCCGCGCUGCAUUAGCUAGUUGGUAAGGUAACGGCUUACCAAGGCAACGAUGCAUAGCCGACCUGAGAGGGUGAUCGGCCACACUGGAACUGAGACACGGUCCAGACUCCUACGGGAGGCAGCAGUAGGGAAUCUUCCGCAAUGGGCGAAAGCCUGACGGAGCAACGCCGCGUGAGUGAUGAAGGUCUUCGGAUCGUAAAACUCUGUUAUUAGGGAAGAACAUAUGUGUAAGUAACUGUGCACGUCUUGACGGUACCUAAUCAGAAAGCCACGGCUAACUACGUG